rnacentral:misc_RNA from 1 species
CGAAAGCCUGACGGAGCAAUACCGCGUGGGGGAUGAAGGCUCUUGGGUUGUAAACCUCUUUUCUCAGGGAAGAAAAAAAUGACGGUACCUGAGGAAUAAGCAUCGGCUAACUCCGUGCCAGCAGCCGCGGUAAUACGGAGGAUGCAAGCGUUAUCCGGAAUGAUUGGGCGUAAAGCGUCUGUAGGUGGUUUGGCAAGUCUGCCGUUAAAGGUCGGGGCUUAACUCCGAAAAGGCGGUGGAGACUGCCAGACUAGAGUGUGGUAGGGGUAGAGGGAAUUCCCGGUGUAGCGGUGAAAUGCGUAGAUAUCGGGAAGAACACCGGUGGCGAAGGCGCUCUACUGGGCCACAACUGACACUGAGGGACGAAAGCUAGGGGAGCGAAAGGGAUUAGAUACCCCUGUAGUCCUAGCUGUAAACGAUGGAUACUAGGUGUUGCCUGUAUCGACCCGGGCAGUGCCGUAGCUAACGCGUUAAGUAUCCCGCCUGGGGAGUACGCACGCAAGUGUGAAACUCAAAGGAAUUGACGGGGGCCCGCACAAGCGGUGGAGUAUGUGGUUUAAUUCGAUGCAACGCGAAGAACCUUACCAGGGCUUGACAUGUCCGGAACCUCUGGGAAACUAGGGGGUGCCUUCGGGAGCCGGAACACAGGUGGUGCAUGGCUGUCGUCAGCUCGUGUCGUGAGAUGUUGGGUUAAGUCCCGCAACGAGCGCAACCCUCGUUUGAAGUUGCCAGCAUUAAGUUGGGCACUCUGAAGAGACUGCCGGUGACAAACCGGAGGAAGGUGGGGAUGACGUCAAGUCAGCAUGCCCCUUACGUCCUGGGCUACACACGUACUACAAUGCUACGGACAAAGGGCAGCAACUCCGCGAGGGGAAGCAAAUCCCAGAAACCGUGGCUCAGUUCAGAUUGCAGGCUGCAACUCGCCUGCAUGAAGGUGGAAUCGCUAGUAAUCGCCGGUCAGCAUACGGCGGUGAAUACGUUCCCGGGCCUUGUACACACCGCCCGUCACACCAUGGAAGCUGGUAAAGCCCGAAGUCGUUACCCUAACCCGAAAGGGAGGGGGAUGCCGAAGGCAGUGCUGGUGACUGGGGUGAAGUCGUAACAAGGUAGCCGUACCGGAAGGUGUGGCUGAAUCACCUCCUUAAAGGGAGACCUGCUUAAUCUAGACCGACCCAAAGUAAAAGAGGUCAGAUGUAAGGCAUCCCAGGUCGUGCGAGGAAAAAAACUGGUUGCUAAGGCUUUCAAACUCUCUUUCGGUUCGGAACAUAUUUCGGUUCGGAACAUGGGCUAUUAGCUCAGGUGGUUAGAGCGCACCCCUGAUAAGGGUGAGGUCCCUGGUUCGAGUCCAGGAUGGCCCACCUUAAGUCGUCUUGAGGGGGUAUAGCUCAGUUGGUAGAGCGCUGCCUUUGCAAGGCAGAUGUCAGCGGUUCGAGUCCGCUUACCUCCACUAGAGCGAACCAGCGGUUAAAACCGCGUCUACACAAAGAAAGUCCAUCUAGGUGGACUGAGUUAAAAAUGCGUAGAUAAAACAAAUUACACAGAGGUAGAUUUUAAAGGAAAAAAAAACAAUAAAAAGCUUGACAUCGGAAAAAAGGUCGUGAUAGACUAGAAAAGGUGGAAAAAGAAGCUAGCAACUGAAAGGAAAAAAACCGAUCGGCCUGCUGGACUCUAAACCAGCCAGAACCUUGAAAACUGCAUAGUAACAUAUCAGCAAGAGUAGUCAGUAAGAAGUAGGCGUCAGGAAUGACGUGUAAGAUCUUGCAGACUGUUUUAAAUGUGGUCAAGCUACAAAGGGCUUACG